UACUGUUCACUGACUGCUUCAGGCUCAGUCAUUUAUUGUCCUUUAGGGGGAGUGAGAAGAGGGUGAUUAUUUUAUCAUUUCAGAAAGGGGUGCGGAUAAAGAGUGGGAUUAGGGAGAGAGAGUGGGAGGAGCUUGGAUUUCGUCCAGAUAUCUUUCUGAUCUCUCUGUGGAUAAGUAUCAGAACCAGCCACGCAUCAGCUAACAGUCUACUGCAGCAUCCGAGGAGCAGGGCUUGGCGUGUCGACCAUCCACAUGGCCACAGCAAUGGGAUACAGGAAAUCCCACCCAAACGGUAUGAUCCAUAUCUGAAUCACAUUGUUUUCUUUGGUAAGGUAAGCAUUCAUUGAAAGCUCAAAAUAUCCUGAUUGGGGAGCAUUUACUGUUUACUGGAUAGAGUUGUCUGCUGUAAAAUGUAGUAAAGAGCCUUGCUUAUUAUUUUCUGUACUGUGCUAUGCCUUUAAAAUAUCUCCAGUACAAGAAACCCACACCGUGUAACACUUUGCCACAGAAACUAGCUGUUAAAACAACCAUUUUGUAUAUCUCUCUUUUCUAUUUUUUAAAUUGUUAUAUACAAUGAGCUCAUAAUUGGACAUUCUAAAUUGGUAGAAACAAAAGGGAGUAAAAUAAAAUAUGCAAAUAAAACAAAAUCGGAAUACUUGACCCCUAACUGUAUCUAUUACUGUGCAAUGAGCAAGCCCAUAUCUAUCAAUGACUCAUACUAACGUUACUGCCCUUGAGUCCAGCCCUGCUGUGUAUUGUCAUACUGUGCUACCUGGAAAUAGGGUUACUAGAUUUUCAGAGGGAAAAACUGGGAUGUUUUUAUUUUCUUCAAUUGACUGAUGCCAUAGCAACUCUGAAGCCAUUAAAAUAACUAUACAAUAACACAAUUUAUUAAUUGUAUGUUUCGAAGUAUUCGGUGGCUACCUCUAAUCAAGUUGAGAGUGCAUUUCCCGCGCAGUAGCAACGUGAUUAGAGGGAGCCACCGAACACUUAUUACAAACAUACAAUAAACAAUUCAUUGUUUACUUUCUAUUGUCAUCUGACCAAAAUAAAUACAAUAGCAGAACCGGGACAAUUUAACAAUUUUACUGUUUCUAAUCAGGGCACAAAAAUUUACUUCUGGUAACCCUACCUGUAUAGGAUACCAGUAGAUUAAUAACAAUCUCCCCCAGUACAAAGAAAAAAAAAACACUGCUUUAUUUACUAAUAAUUCAUUUCUAUUACGUAGGUAUUAUGUUUACAAUGGCAACUAGAUUUUAAAAAUUGACUUUUGAAGAUCUUAACAUUUUCUAGUUUUGAAACAAAAAAAAUAAUGAAAACGAAUGUCAUCGUCAUUUAAAGAAUCCAAAAAUAGUGUUUGACAAUUUCAUGAAUAUCACUUAAUAUCAUAAAAACUGAAAAAGGAGUAUUUUUUUACAUUUCUUAACAACAGCAUAGAAAGGUUUAAGGAGCUCUGUUUAGUUUAUCAAAAACAGUAUUCAAAUAUCUCAUGAGUUUUAGGCCUCAACCUUUUUAAGACCACAUAGGUCUCGUCCUCAGAUUAAAGUUGGUUUGAGACCCAGUAAUUUGACCCUGGAUAAAUACAGGCUUUUGUCCUUUAACUCCUGAAGGUAGUGCACCAUUGAAAUGUGUCCCGGCACUCAUUAGAUAAAUAAAUCAGGUGAGAUUUUGUUCCACUUUCUGCUGCUCUGUUUUACUUUGUGCCUCUCCAGCUUUGUAAUGGAUCACCCAGUGCAGGAACACACCAAGGCUAUUCUUCUUCCUGGACUCUUUACUGAAUCUGUCACUGUCGAGCUGCACUGAGGAGUGAGAGACGCCUAGCGGAAGUGAAAAGCCACAGUGUCCAGUUACACACCAAUGGAGGGAGCUGUCAUUCCCCUGUGGCCUAAAGAAGGAGCUUUCCGUGGUGCGCACUGGCUCUGGGUCGACACUGGUUGGCGGGGAGAAGGACCAGCAAGGAUUUUGGUCUCAUAAACCACUAACCAAAUUCAAAUGAUAAGUUAAAAUUCAUUAUAUGAACACAAAAAACUUCACAUGACAAAUGGACCUUGACGGAUAUAGUUGUCAGACAUGCUGGAUCAUUGUGCGUUAUGAAGUUGAUUAAAAAGCACGCUGACAAGCAGAUGAAAGAUGUCUGCCCUUUAUCACUUUACCAUCAUCCUGCUGCUACUGUUUAAUAGCUGUGGAAAAUAUGAAUGAUAGCCUGAAUCCUGUAAUGAUGUUUUCCCAAAUACUAACGAUGUGCGCUGAAAGUCUGCGUCAGCUAAAGCAACAGUAUUAUCACCCUUGGUUCUUUAAACUACUGAAUCAUAUAGCAGCUUUUGUUUUCCAUGUCUUGACUAUGAGGACAGCCAUAUUAUAUCAAGACAAAAUCAAUAAAAUUAUGUUUCACUGGAGAACCAAAUAGGCAGUCUGUGAAAGUGCCAGCGCUGUAAGGCUUUCUUGUUCUGGUAAUGAUCAUAGUAAAUCUGUUUUUAAAUGUACUGUAGAUUCAAGAAACUCAAUAAGAAAAUGAUUUUUUUUUUUGUGUGAAAGAAACAGGCUUACAAAAAAUGUAUGUAUUAUCCAUGGAGGGCAUGCUUAAAUAGGAGAUGAAAUGCAGGUUCUUUGCCCCACAAAACCAAUAUUAAAUUUACAUUUCAAAGCACAAUGAAACAAGCAGAGGAUCAACGCAAUAUUUUCUAUAAUGGGUACAUUGGCAACCAUCAAACGUCUUAAAUAUUUAAAAAGGCCUUACAUUUUAUACAUUAGGGACUCAACAGGGUGCUCUAUGUUAGCAUGCCAUUUGCUAUGGAAACAGUUGAACAGGACUUUGAAAGGAGGUAUUGGGAAACCUUAUUAUUUUAUUUAAACAGGAAUUUGUUUGUUGCUUGCACUUUUAUUUAAAUUCACUGCACAGUUUUUUUAAACUUAUUUUUACAAUCUUUGCAUGUUUCAUAUUAAAUGCUACACGGUAAUUGAAAUUAAUUAAGUAAGACUAACUACUAACUGCUGCUACUAAUGCUAAUACUAACAAUGCAAACUAACAAAUCUAACCUUUUUGUGUGUCUUCUUGGUAUCUUAACUGUACUAACUUUCAGCCUCAAAUAAGGGUAUUUGACUUAUAACUGUGUUAAGAUUCUGAUGGAUAUCCGAAUAUUCUUUAAUUAAUUGUACAAUGCAACAUAUUGAAAUAUUAAAACAUGGUAGCCUAUCGAAUGAUCUAACUCCGCUCAGUAGAAUGUCUUUUGGAGAUUUCGGACAUCAUGGUAUACAGAUUAAAACCCAAUUUUUGCCAAUAUUUUCACCAAAGGCAACAGGAAUAUUCGAAUAUUUAUCCCAGCACGUACAAUGCACCCGUUCCUACUAAUAAAAUGGUCACUUCUUUCCUGUCCUUCUCUUUUCAAUUUUAACCCAGUUCUGCUUUUUCUUUUAAGCCUUGGUCUUGAUCAUGCAUGAAGAGCUCCACUCCUCCGACAGGAUGGGGUGCAAUAACUAACAUUUGUGAAUAACCUGGUUACUAACAACUACUAACUGCAAUUAACAGAAAAUCUAUAAAGUAAGUACGUUUUUAUUUACCUGUACGAACUUUUAAAUCCAGCCUACUCAGUUAUUAUAACUAACCAUGUCUGUCUGUCUGUCUGUCUGUCCAUGUCUGUCGUACCGAUUUACUGUAUCUGUUUGUCCGUGUAGCUAUAUAUGUAGUCAUAUACAUAUUUAUAGUUUACUACUGUACAGAAUGUGUGUGUUGGGUAUAGUGUCUGUUCCCAACCUAAUAAACUAACAAAACCUAACAUUGUACUAACCUUUUUAUACAGUAUUACUACUAACAUAAAAUGAUUGAUUUGUAACAUAAUGGAUUUUAUAUGACUCACAGUAAUUAUUACUGUGAGCUUUUUUUCUCCUUUUAUGGGAGUGUAAUCACUUCUCAAACCUGCUGAAGAAAUUAAUAUAUAUAUAUACACACAUGCUAGCUAAUAUCAAUAAACAUAUAAUAAUAUUCAAGUGCUGUAUAAAAUAUAUUUCUUCAAAAUGUUAUUUUGGAAAUACGUCAUACAAACUUGAUUGAAAUUAUAUAAAAACACACCAGGAUAGUUCCAAAUAAAUAAUGACAAAAAAUUACUUUUUUUUCCCGAGCUUAUUAUUCUUAUUAGAAAACUGAAUACAAUGUAUCAGUCAGAAAGUGACAAAAGCAAUUUCAAAUAUCUAUUAAAAACUUGCCAGCUGACACUAAACACACCAUUGCUGUAACAGCCUCUGAACUUGGACCUAUAAUAAAAACACAGCUGUCUUAGUCUUCAAAUAAAAACACACAUUAUACCAUUAUAAUACUGUGAAAAAAAAAAUCAAAACAGAUGUUGUGAUACCAUUCUACUAAUGGAAUCCAAUAGUUCAUAUACUAUAUAACGGGACAUGUUUGACUCCCCAGUUAACAGUGUCACUUUCUGACAGCAUUACUUGUAUCAAUACCACUCAAUUCAGGAUCAAAUUGAUCAUGAAGCAAUGCAGGAUUUGGGAAAGUGGUCACAAGACUAAUGGAAAGAUCCCCUGUCCUGCUGAACCCAGCUGUUAGUUCUGAAUGAUAGUGCUUGGUCUGCUGCUUGUAUUUGUAUCCCACUUUGAGGACAGUGUGCAUUUGGUGAUUUCAAACUAACAUAGAAAACUAAUGCUGGUACUAACAGAUGCUGUUACAAAUACUAACUUCGCUGGGAGAAUCAACUGCUAAUGUUACUGCUGCUAAAUGGUUUGAUGCUUUUACUAACCGCUGUAUGCAUUAGUAACUAACAUUAGAGCUCUAUUCCUUGUCUUACAAUAAUAGUGUAUGCUUCUGAUGUAUAUUGUACUAACACUGUUACUAAAUGUUGCAAAUAUACUAACCACUCUUACUAACAAAAUAAUAAAACAGUACUAACGCAUUACAGUAGAAACUUAUACUAACUGUACUAACUGCAAAAUUACUAACGUUUCCAAUUACUAUCAAUUAAAUUAUUUUCUGUGAACUUUUAAAAAUAUGCUACGAGUGUUUUUUCUUGCUAACACUUCUGCUUCAGAAACACUGACUAGCAUGAAUGUGUGGUGGUGGUGCUGGUACUAACCAAGGGAAUUGAAGCAUGUUUUUGUAUGACUGACGUGUGACUAACACUGUGCAUCUGUUUCUAUCUGGAUGGUACGGGUGGGCUAGCUUUUGAAAGUUCAGAUGUAGGAAGAUGUUAAAAACUAGGAACAGCUCAAAACAGAGGAGGAUAUUGACUCUGAGAAGGGUGACUACAUUGUUGCAUGUCUUUAAAAUAGCAAUCUUUAAUGUACAUUAUAUAUAACCCAAUGGAAUUACAGCCUUUAUUAACAAAGUCAUGCAGUACAUACACACACUUGACAAUUGUUCCCUUAUACCUAACUGUCUUAAACCUUUUAUAAGAUCAUAGAUCUGUGGGAGGUUAUUUAUAUAUUUAUAUAUGUAAGGAAAUAAUACCUGGUACUAUUCUUCAGAAAUGUAUUAUAGUAUACUGAUAUUUUUCAUUGCGUACAAUUUUAUUUAAACAAAUACUGUAUGGAACUAGGGCUGGAUAUGACGUCUCUGACAUUUUAUAUAUAAAGUAAAACCUGGAGUCACCUUCAAUAUGAAGGUCCCCUGUAUUCAGUAUUAAGGCUACCAUCUGCAGUCCCAAAUCUAUCAACCCUUUGGGAAAUGAGCUGUCUAAUUAGACCAAUCAUUCUGCAAACUACCAAGCUAAAAAAAAAAGCUGUUUGAAAAUUUGCAUUAAAUUAAAUUAAAUUAAAUUAAAAUAAAAUAAAUAAGCUCAAGAUAGUUCAACUAUUAAAUAAAGUGCUAACCAGUUCAAUAUAUUGUCUAUUCAAACAAAUGGGAUUUGAAUUUCUGGCAAUACAUUCUAUGUACCUGCAGUAGUAAGUCCACAUUUUGUUGGCCCCUUGACUGGCCUUAUAUGAAAAGGCAUUUACUACAGUUAGGAAAUUUGACCUCAAACUGGAAAUAUAAUGUCCCUACUGCCAUCGCGUAGUGUUCUAAUGCAGUCGGCUGCAGCUGAUGAAUUCCCAAAAGAGAGAAAAAAAAAAUCCAGUAUUUCUGAGUUGAAAAGCUAGCUGUUAGAAAACAGACAGCUUAAAGACUGAGCGACUGGAACCCCCAUUGUGCAGAGGCACAUUUAAAAUGGCCUGUGAGUGCUCCUCAAUCUAUAAAGAUGAAAAGCUAAAUGCAUGCUGUCAACUUUAGUUCUAGGAGAAUGCAGCCGUUUCAGAGGACCCUAUCUGUGUGCUUUUCAUCUUACAUUUCCUAAUAGUUAACGUCUUACAUGUUUAAAAUCCUAUUACAGCAGUUCUGUUUGAUUCUACAUUGUUGUUUCAGCUUAGAUCGUUAUUUUCCAUGCUUACUAACUAACAGCAAAAACUGCUUCUGAAAAGACUCCUGUAGGCUUUUUGUGGGGAAGCACUUAAGUCCUGCACAGGCAGUGCACAACGCUUCACCUGUGAAAUGGAUCGCCACCUUUAGUCUUGGAGUCUUUGUCAAGCAUUGUCAAUAAUGAUCUAAGAAAAAACCAAAGAGAAUCACACAGAACACUUAGGGAAUACAGAGAUAAGAAAAUAUAUCAGGAAUGUGUAGGUCUAACAAGCAUUCGUUUUAGUUUUCUAACAUGUCUGUUUCUGUUCUAACUAUGAACUCCAGACUCUAAAACAAUUAUAUUACUAAACCAGAAAAAUAUAACUUUAGCAAAGAGGGCUUUCAGUUUAUGUUAUUAAAACCUUGUUAAAUGUACCAGAAAUAGACAUUCAAAAAUGAUAUUUAAUAUGAACAAAUGUAUGCUUGAGAAUAGUUUUCUCUAGAUCUCUUAAUAGCUUUUGGGGGAUGCUUUUAUAAACACUCCCCCUUCUUAAUGUGUGUAUUAACACUAUCCAUGUAUUAAAAUAACAGUGCUUUGUUUAAUGAAAAUGAUACAAUACGAAUACUGAAGCUGUUACUGGAGGGUCGUGGGUUCAAUCCCAGUUAGGGGACACUGCUGUUGUACCCUUGAGCAAGGUACUUUACCUAGAUUGCUCCAGUAAAAACCCAACUGUAUAAAUGGGUAAUUGUAUAUAAAAAUAAUGUGUAAAAAAUUCUGUAAUUGUAUGUAAAAAUAAUGUGAUAUCUUGUAACAAUUGUAAGUCGCCCUCGAUAAGGGUGUUCACCCCAAUGGGCAUUGAUUUUCCAGGGAAUUCUGGUACUAAUAGACUAACUUGACUACUAAUCAAUUAAUAUAUAUGUCUGGUUGUAAUGCAUAUUGAAUAUUACUAACAUAACAAGCUGCUUUGAACCUGCCUGAUAUGAAAUUUCACACGCUUACAGUAUGUGCUGUUAUAACACAUACCUGCUUUGAUCUAACCUGCAGUAGUUAAAGUAAAUAAGGGGACACUGGACUGACAGAAUAAAAAUGCAUCUUCACUGCAAUAUUAAUCCAACUAAUACAUAAGGAUUUUUUACUAACUUAAUGCUGUCUUUAUGGGUAUGAAUACGGCUAAUCAUUUGGUCAGCAAAAGCAAUGCUUUGCCCAGUUGUUCAUUUCAAGACGCUCCCAGUUUCCUCAUGUGCUCCCAGUUUCCUCACUGAACAACAGUUCAAUGUCUUACCAUAUGCCAGGCUGAAUAGAUACGACUGCACUCACUGGGUGAUAAGGGGCAACUCUUUUCUUUAUACUUUAUGUUUAUAACUGGUUUCAGUCCAAGCUGCUCCAGUCUGUAAUGUGAAAGACCUAUCCAUACACCUCCAAAUUAAAAGGACGGCAACAAACCAUUCUCCAUCUUCCCAAAGGCUAGUCCAUGGGACACUGUAUUUCUUUGUUAGUAAAGGCAAUAGUUAUUAUCAGCAUGUAGUAAACAGGAAAGAAGCAGACGAAGGCAUCAGCCGCAAUGGUUGCAUAUCUGACUUCAAUCAAAUAAUACACGCUGCUUUAUCGCGCUAUUCAAUCAAAAUCUUCCACAUAAAAAAUGUGGUCAAAUUCAAUUAACUUUUAAUAAGAAAUGCAUUUUACAAAGUAUAAUUUUUUUUUAAAUAGGAAACUAUGUAGCAAUAAUAUGACCUUCAUAAAGGUGACAUCGUAUAACUAUGUGCGUAACCCUUUGGGAUCACUUUGAAAACCCACAUAACAUGCAUAUGAAUAUUUAUAACAUGUCUUAAUAUUUAUUACAAACUAAAAUGUACUGUAAUUGAGAAUUCAGCAUUUCCAGUCUGUGUAUGAGACCUGUCACCAUUAACACCUUUACUGUUAUUAUUGAGGUCUCUUAAAUAGAAUGGUGUAGCACUGUAGUUGGCAAAAACGUUAUGAUUACUGUAAUGUCAUUUUGGCCUUUGUUAUGAAUGCUGCAUAAUGUCCUAUUCAAUUUAAGCAAGUAUUUCACAUGUAUUGGUGUUACAACUGGUUUUAAUCCUGUACUGAAAUGUUGUGACAUAAAAAUAUGUCAGGAAAAUAUAACCUACAGAACAAUGCAAUGUGUAUGUUUAUAGUUUCUGUUUUUAAUUGUAAUGUGCAGUUCAUGUACAUAUUAAACAGGUUGGAAUGAGUGUUUUAUAUAAUUCUUUAUUGCUGUUUCUGCUUGUUUACUAACUAAUUCCCCCUUUUAACCACAAGUACUGCUUCUGAAAAGGCUCCUAAAUGCUGGAUUUUCCCAAAUGUUGUUAUUAUCAGACAAUCCGUCUGCUACCUACUGUUUGGUUGCAGGGAAUAGCAGCUAGUGAUUGGCUAGCUGCGGAUUCCUAACCAGCAUGUGGGCGUGUCCCGGCGGAGCGUCUUAGUGUCCAGCUAACACACCUCAUGGCUACUGAAAAGCCACAGGACACAGACUGUCCACGUUACCUGAACAACAAAUCUUAAAAGCCCAAAUCCUCCGAUCACCAUGAGCUUUGUGAAGAGGAAGCCAAAACCUCCGAUCACCGGGGUCAGAGUUUUAAUUAUUCAAAGAAAACGGAAUUAGUUAAGGGAUUUUAGGUCCCACAAGUGUAGUUUUGUUUUGCUCUGUGUUUUCUUUUGCCUUUUUGUUUUCUAUGUCCUCCAUGCGCUACGAUUGCUGGUAGCGUCACAUGUGUUUUUUUAUUUUUCUUGUGUUUACUUGAAAUAAAUCCUGUGUGCCCUAGUGGAGUUGUCAAUA